ACAGCAUCCACCAAGGCUUGGUGGAGCCGCCCCAGCUCCCUGCCAUGCACAAAUGGAGCAUCGUCAGAGCAAGCACACAGAGUGAGAAGAAAUGAGAUGCUGAAAGGGAAGAGAUGUCCUUAGAAGGGAAGUCAGCCCUGGCCUGCAGCGAUAACUUUGCUUCCUAAUAACACACUGCUGGGGAGCACAGUGUUCCUGCCCUGCUUCCACGGAGCGGAGGUUUGCUUCACAAAGCCUGUUUUCUCCUUCGAUCUUCACAGAUAUUGAUCUGUAUCAAAAUGGAUUUUAUGAAGAGGAGGAGGGGGGAAAGCAGCCUCAUGACCUUACAUCUAUUUGGUGUUUGGAGCUGUGUGAAAAAUAUCUUGAUUAUAGCCUGGCAAUUUUCUCCAGUUGCUCCGUAGCAGAACGGCAGAGCUGCCGAUGUGGGCAGGAGUGCAAUGCUGGCAACAGAACUUGCUUCUGCAAUCUGAAGAGAUGUAUUCUGGAGGGCAUGGAGUGAUUUCUUUGUCCUAUUCAGGCCUUGGGACUCACAGCUGAGAUCACUGGUUUUGCCUUAAUGACAUUCUCAGGGCACCAAUUGGCCAGCAACCUCUAUAUAGGAAUUGCUUGUGUUUAUACGAGUUGAUGCUAUCCCCAGCCAGAUCUUAUCCCUUAAUCCAUGCCAUGUAGGACACCCAGCAUGAUUCCCAAGAGCCACGCAGCUGGGAUUUGAUCAGGGACGCUGCAAAGCCACACAUGACUCAUGGAACAGCAUCAAAGAUGCUCCCAAGCACUGCUUACAUCCCACUAAAUAAACCAGGCACUUUCUUCAUAGACAGUGGUACAUCAAGGGCAUCAUAAGGUGUAUGCAUGGACUGCUGAUCUAGUGAUCAUCACUGAGCACAUGCGUGCUUGGGGGAUCCUACAACUCAGGAUCUGAAAAGCCAGAGUCUGGAGGUGAUGGGUGGAUUCCUUCUUGGAGAAAGUCUUAAAAUCUUUCUGGUUAUGGAGAUUGUAGUAAGGUGUAGUUGAAGAAAUGUCUAGGCAGCUCACAGAUGUGGUGGCUGAUGAUAUUGAUAACAGAUUACUGGAAAUCCUUGUUCUGGUAAGUCCUUGAGCUCCAGUUCUAAUUUUUGUGUAAGGUAUUAUUAGUGUUAGGCAGUAGAGAGAAAAAAAAGGAGGAAAAAAAGUAAACUUCUACAGAAGAAGAAAGAGAUUCUUUUCUCUUGCCUUUGGCUAAAGUAUCUUCAGUAAUGCUGGCAAAAUAGAAGGAAAAAGCACAAGUUUUUUUUCUCCAUGGAUGGGUGGGCAGACAGCCUGAGGACUUGAGAAGAAAGCUCCAAGCUGCUGUGUGCCCUCCCCAGCACAGAGACCUUCCCCUUGUCCAGGGCAGUUGCAAGAAGCUGCUUCCUUUGCAAGGGUUUCUGUAAAGCCUUUAUUGAGCUGCCUGUGCAGAAGUCAAAUGGGACACGGGAGAAUCCCAAACGUGCAGGUCUGCUCUUCACUUCUGAAGAACAACAUCUCCAGCGUAUUGCCCUCCGGAGAAAUAAGGUGGGCAUAGAGAAGGAGUAGAUGCCCUAAAUUCCUGUCAGCUCCAGUACCACCAGCAGCAGGCACAGUCAAGCAAGCUUUCCUUAGAGUUUACAGGGGGCACUCGGUGCUAGAACAGAAAGAAGUAUUUUGCUUGCAAUAUUUCAUUAAUUCCCCAUGCAGACAAGAUGUGCACAAGCCCUAAUAGCUUCUUCAGAAGUUUUGCCCCCUCUGUAGAUCUGCAGUCACAGAGCCCUGCCCAGUUGCUGUCAUGCUGUGAUGUGCUGAGUCAAUUAAAAGUCUGUGCUUAUCAUGGGCACGCACAACAAAUGUUAUCUACCUUAUUAGUCUGGUAAACCACAGUGCAAGCUACGGUUCUUCACGAUAAUAAAAUAGUGCAUUAGCAUAAGUCAAUCAAGAGCAGAUUUUAGAAAUAAUUGGUUUAGAUUUUCAGCUAACAGCUGCUUUGGUUAUUAGCUCUUGGACACUUUGUUUUUAAUUGGACAAUUUGAAGGAAACGUUAUCCAGUGCCUCCAGGCUUCCUUCAGUAGAAAUAUUCUUUUUUAUAAAGAGCUCCAUGAAAGCUUGCCUUUCUGUGAAGACAACUGCGUGGCUAACACUGUGUGCAACGACAGCAGUUGCAACUACCGUUCACUGCAAAUGUGGCCAAGGUACUAAACUGAAGGAAUCAAAAACUGAGUAGCAGUUUUGAAAGGAGCCAAGGAGGAAGAAAGCAUCCUGCAGAUGAUUCUCCACGUGGGGUUGGAUUGUGCAGUGGCAGCCAGGGACCUUCUGUGGCUCUCAGCAGCCUUGCUGGUGGCCUGAGCUGGCAGGAGGAGCCCCGUUAUCUCCUGCCUAAGAGGCACAGGGCAGUCAGAGGGAGCUGCUAGCAACUGCCCACAAAGAUUUCUGUUACAGAAAAUGGAUCGUGUGUUCAGGACUUUAAUGUAGAAAGCUAGCAGUGCACACCAGAUGGAAGAAACCUGCUCGUGCCAGAGCAGAACUUGGCAAGUGAUGGCUGAAACUGUUGAGAUAACAGGGGCUUCUGUUUCAUUUGAAAGCUGUGUUCAUUUUUUUUCUAAAUAACCUGAAGUUCUGAUGCAAAAAAAAAAAAAAGAGAGAACAGAAGAGGGAGAAAGAUCAGGACAGUGUCUGAGAGAAGACCCUUGGACCUUCCCCUUCAAAAGCAAUGUGAAUCCUGGCCCAUCCCUGGUGUUUGUCCUGCUCCUCGUCAAGCUGCAGCUUUCCAGCAUUGCCAAAUGUUUUCUGUUGCUCAUCAAGUCUGCAGCCUUCAAACCACCCUCUUACUGGCUCCAGAAGCUUGGACCGCUCUCUGUCCACAUUGACUAUUGCAGUCCUUCAUGGGAACCCCAUCACCCCCAGCUCAGGUGCCUGCAGGGUCCCUUGGGGAGAUCAGAGCUCCCCCAGCUGCUCCUGCAGAAGCCAGCAGAGACCCUUCCCAACAACCUCUCCCUUUCCAGCCCAGCUCUCUGGAAGUAGCAGCCUGCCCACAUUUGGAUACCUUGCCUGGAAGGUGGCAGAUGACGCCUGUAAAACUCUUUCCCUGACAUUCAGAGCUGCUAAUUUUUAAUGCAAACUGUUGCCUUGGUAUUUGCAUUUGGAAUGAGUUUGCAUUUCCUUAACUCUUUCCACCCCCCUCUGUAGCUAUAUAGACUCUAAUUUUAUGGGAUCAUUCAAGAUACCAAGUUAUCACUGGGAGGUUUACUUGGGUCUCAGGGUGUGCAGUUCUGGAAGCACCUCAGUAAAAGGAUGAAGCUGCCUUCCCCAUCGGUGCCAAGACUCAUCCCACCAAGAAAAGCCUUGUUCUCACAAACCAUUAGCUAGGAAUAGCACCAUCUCUGGCACUCUUUGUAUUCGUAAUCUCUUUCUUUUACCUUCCUACAUUCUGUGUAAUCGAACUGUUUGGUCUUCCCAAAGAUGCAUAAGAACAGCCAGUCGUUCAGGACGAGUACGCUUCCAUCGCAGGCUACAUCUUGGAGUAAGAAUCAGAUAGCUGAUGAAAUAGAGGUGGUCUCCUUUGCUUGGAAAAAGAACGCCACAAGGAUAAAGCAGAAAUAGAAGGUGAUAUAUUGGCUCUUCUUCAUAUCAUAUUCUUCAAACUUUUUUUUUAAAAAAUCUAAACAAAUUAAUGCCAUGUUAGGAUAGAUGAGUGCUACUACCAGCUAAUAUAACUGGAUUUAUACAGAAAAGUGUCAUUGUACACAGUUCAGUGGAGUGUGAGGUCUUCCAAGGGAUGGCUUGGAAAGAAAACUAGACUUAUAUGUGCUAGCAUUUGCUUGAAAAGUUAAAUAGAGUAUUUCAUUGCUUUCUUUUGUAAGGACGUUUGCUGCAAUAACUUAUUGUUGCUACCAGUCCUUCUGUUCCUACAAACCUGUAGACAUCACACUGAUGUCUCACCUUCCUUGGAGGAGAAAACCCAGCAUCUGCAUGUGUGUGCAGUGCUGACAGAAAGCAAAGUGAAAGGAUUUAGCGUCAAGCGUGAGCAUGAUUCUCACAAAAAUAAAUUGAUUCCAAUAUACGCGAGCUAGAGGGGGAAUGUUAUGCUUUAUUAACUUUUCCUGCUGUUGUAAGUUAUACAGGUAUUGUCUGUGCGACCAGCAGAGUGCUGAAAUGAGCGAUUUCCAGAGGAAAAUGGAGCUUACUUCCCCUGGGUGCCACACACAGAGGGCUGGGGCACCUCCAGGAGCCCCCUGCCCCAUCCUUUUCCCAGAGGAAGGCUGGCUGCGACCUCAGAGCCCGCUUUGAAGUCAGAAGUCGAUCUGUGAAUGCCUUCAGGGUUGGAGGUGUUCUGAAUGGCAGAAGGGUAGAGCAAAGUUGGCUCUGUGGAUAACCCAGCGGUGGCAAUUCCCAUCAAGCAGACAGCGCUCUGUUAUCUAAACUGCAUAGACACAUAUGGAAGUGUCAUACUCUUCCUUUUGGCUUUUUUUUCCUGCCAAAUCGCAUAAGCACGUAAUCAACUAAAAUCAAAUUAUGUCAUGACAAAGUUAAGCCCUCCAGAUGAGGCAGAGCAGAAAAACCUUAUACAUGCUUUUAUCCCAUCGGAUGGUGAAAUGUGUUUGUUUAAGCUUCUCUCAUUAAGUCAAUCUAAUGUGAUUGUGUUAGCUGGCACCCUGUAACUGUCUAUACUGAUGUGCUGGGUAGGAUUAUGGAAGCAAAUCAGCUCUGUCCCCUCUGUCCUUCCCUUUUCCUCUGUACACAUAACAAAACAAGACAUACAAUGCAAAAAAAGAAUGCUGUUUUGUCAGGUGUCAGGAUCAUGGGGGAAGUCAUAGCUAUUCGCUUUUAAAGGGUGAUAAGCACUGAAUAUGGCAAUAGGAGAUAGCCUGUGGGCAGUAAGCAGUUAUUUGGGAGCUUUAAUUUACUGCUUUUUGCAGAGAUAGCAACCCAGUAUGAUAGAAUCUGGACACAAAUAAUAUAAUUCAGCCAGACAGCUAGGAGAAGGAGAUACUUCACUGUCUCAGGAUCCACAAUAUGGUGUGAUUUCAGGCUAUGAUAAUCAGCAUGCAGCUAUUUUGUCACACCGAGAGUGAUUGCAUUCAAGACUCCUUGCAGCAUCAUGGCUGAGAUACCUGGUCUCAGUGGGAAUCCCAAGGAACUGAGUCAGAAGUCAAAAGCCCCACCCCGCGGGUAGAAAAUAAAUUCUUUUGCCAAAAUAAAAGUAUAAUGUCAAUAAUAACCAGCCCCAGAAGUCCUGAAAUUUCCAACAGACUGAAAUUUCAGCUCUGCAGGUGCUGGCUUCUGGGAUUGGCACAGCAUCCGCAGCACUACAGAGCUGUCCAAAGCAGUCUGAAUAGCUCUCAGGUGCCUUAAACUCUCAUUUCUCAGUCUAAAAUACAUGUUAUGACUUUUUCUGUUAACUGUUUGGAAUCCUAUACUUAAUCCUUAAAUUUAAGAGGAGUCUGUCAUGUCUGGCU